UACGUAGGGGGCUAGCGUUGUCCGGAAUCAUUGGGCGUAAAGAGCGUGUAGGCGGCCCGGUAAGUCCGCUGUGAAAGUCGGGGGCUCAACCCUCGAAUGCCGGUGGAUACUGUCGGGCUAGAGUGCGGAAGAGGCGAGUGGAAUUCCUGGUGUAGCGGUGAAAUGCGCAGAUAUCAGGAGGAACACCGGUGGCGAAGGCGGGUCUCUGGGCAGUAACUGACGCUGAGGAGCGAAAGCGUGGGGAGCGAACAGG
rnacentral:rRNA from 1 species